AAAAAAACUCUAAAUGUAUUUGAAUUUUAUGAUAUUUAAAUAAAAGCCUUAAAAAAAUGGACUUGAUUAGCUUAGUCUACAAUUUGGAAAACCCUAUGAUAAUAUAUCAAUUCAAAAAAGUGAAAAAAAACACACUAUCAUAACAAAACAUAAAGCACACUUUAUAACCGUAGAUCUCUUAACCACGUAUCAUUUAAUAACAGUGAUGAUAAACGUACUAAUUAUGUACACUACAAGCUUAAAAAGGAAUAAGAUUCAAUUGUUUUGGUAAUGUUUUGAGGCUCAAAUAAUGUUUCCUAAAACUAAAUUCAAACAGAAAUAACUGAACGAAAACAAAUAACUAAAACUGUUCAUAAUUUUGUUUUUCUUCUAAAAAAACUAUUUUUAUGGCUUUUGUGAUAAAAAUAAAAGUAAAGUAAAUGUUGAAUUUUGAUUUAGAAGGUAAUAAAUCGUUAAAAGGAUGUGUGAUCUCACUUUCUGAACUAACAAGUUUUUUAUGUUUCAGUUGCUCCUUGUUUUUGCUUAUGUUUUGCUUAUGUUUUGCUUAUAUUUUAUUUAUUUGUUUUUGU
rnacentral:sRNA from 1 species